AACGAACGCUGGCGGCAUGCCUAACACAUGCAAGUCGAACGAGACCUUCGGGUCUAGUGGCGCACGGGUGCGUAACGCGUGGGAACCUGCCCUUAGGUUCGGAAUAACUCCCCGAAAGGGGUGCUAAUACCGGAUAAUGUCUUCGGACCAAAGAUUUAUCGCCUUUGGAUGGGGCCGCGUUGGAUUAGCUAGUUGGUAGGGUAAAAGCCUACCAAGGAGACGAUCCAUAGCUGGUCUGAGAGGAUGAUCAGCCACACUGGGACUGAGACACGGCCCAGACUCCUACGGGAAGCAGCGGUGGGGAAUAUUGGACAAUGGGCGAAAGCCUGAUCCAGCAAUGCCGCGUGAGUGAUGAAGGCCUUAGGGUUGUAAAGCUCUUUUACCCGGGAUGAUAAUGACAGUACCGGGAGAAUAAGCUCCGGCUAACUCCGUG
rnacentral:rRNA from 1 species